rnacentral:lncRNA from 1 species
UGUUGCUGUGUGUUGGUUGUUGUUCCAAGUGACAGGACGUGAGCAAGCACGGAGGGCAUGAAGGUCUGGGCGUACAGCAAGGGGUUAAGCACGACAGAGCAUUCGCGCCCUCACCGAGCAGGGCCGGGAGCAGCCAUGACAGACAACAACACGCAGACACAUGUAGCACAUGAUGACAACGGCGACUGCUGCCACGCACCUGCACUUGGGCCGUGGCGUGCACGGGCCGGUUUGUGAGCACCGUGAAGGCGAGGUCGCAGUUGCCGGGAGCUAUCCGCCUGGCUAGUUAGAUGUCUUGUACGAGCUAUUGCCCGUGGUGAAAACUGGGCUGCCGUCCGGGGGGUGCGUUUUCCCAGCCAAACCCGCACGUUGGACGUUGCCCCGGGGCAAAUCCUACCGCACGGAUUAGACACCGCCUUUCUGUAGGUACAUAACCAACAUCAUCAUCAGCCAGAAGUGGUCGGCAAAGGUCCAAAUUAUGCUUAUCGGGGCUCAAGUCGCGAAAUUGACCGAAGCCCAUAUCUCGCAUAUGCGCUGUUUGGGGCCUGAAUCUAUUGCCGUCGACAUUAAUUCUCGUAUAGAUGUAAUCAAAAUAGCUUCAGGCUAAGUUGGCGGGGUCCUGGCGAGCGCGACAUAUAGCAUUUCAACUUGAGCUCUCGCUCAAAAUUAUGCCCGAGCACCAUCCAGGGACCUUAUUAUGUGUAAUGGGAUGUCAAUUCAUGGUCGGGGCGACAGUCUGGGCAUAGACCUUGCGAUCCCGCCCUUGACCCCCGGAGUGGUACCCGCGUGUCAGCACUUCGGCGUCCCCGGCACAGCUCGAAUGCCAUAGCGUCCCCGGCACAGUUCGUCUGCCGCACGCUCGCAUGUGCCAUUGAUGCAGCUGUUGCUUCCGUGGUCCCACACCCGGCCAUUCGCGUCAAUCGAGGCCUCCCGUCAAAGUAGCGUAGCACCGUAGUCAACUCCACAAACCCACAUCCACAUGUCAUGUCUGUUGCAGCGCCCGUUCCAAACCCGCAGCCUCAGUGCCCGCCCGCGUGCGCCGCCGCCGCGGGCACAGGCCCGUGAAUAGCGGUGCUCAGCGACACAAGAUGCACCUCGUUGUCGCACGCCACAGCCACACACGGCUCCGCCGUCGCAGCCGCUCCAGCGCGGCCCGGCGUGGAGGGCGCGGCGGCGAAGCCCUGCAGCGGCAUUAGCGUGUGUUGCUGUGUGUUGGUUGUUGUUCCAAGUGACAGGACGUGAGCAAGCACGGAGGGCAUGAAGGUCUGGGCGUACAGCAAGGGGUUAAGCACGACAGAGCAUUCGCGCCCUCACCGAGCAGGGCCGGGAGCAGCCACGACAGACAGGGGUUCGGGGUGUCCAACUCGGCGGUUAGCUGUCGGUUGCCACCGACAUUUGGCCCCGACCCCCCCUGGAAGUGGCUUCCCUCGUGCGACUAAGCUUGAAAUCUAUAGGUAUAAUAUCCUUAAGCUCCCCUGACAAGUUUACAGGAGUCAAGACGGAUGCUCUCGAAUUAUCACUUCGCGGGCAGGCAUGAAGCCUUGAAACCGCGUCCCCUGGACCCCUCGCAUGCUCAUG